rnacentral:lncRNA from 10 species
GAGCGCAGGCUGCGGGGCGAGAGGGAAGAGGAGGCGGCGGAUAAGGUGAUGGCGAGAAGAUGGAGGAAGAGCAGACGAAGGAAGAGAAAGGAGAUGGAAGAGAGAAUGUCACCAGAGGAGACCGAAGGAACAAAUUUUGACUUUGCAGGAGAAGCUGUGGGCCAGGCAGAAAGAAAAGGACCAGCUUUUUCUGCAGCUGAAGAAAGUUUCCAUGAGGAAGAAAAACGGAGGCGAAAGGAGCAGAGCGACCUGACCUUCUGACAUCCGCUGUGAGCCGGCGGAGCCCGAUUAUUCACGUGGGGACUCGCUUCCUCCUCGGCAUGCAGGCAGCGCUGGAGGGCACGAUCGCCCGGGCAUUGUCAUAGCAGCUGACCCAGCCAAGCAGAUGUUCAGGCCCCACGUGCUUACGACCCGGAAGUCCGUGGGCUCAGCGGCGGCUUUUGCAGGGACCCCAGAGCAGGCAGCCUGGGCGGUGCCGCUGGGACUGCUCAGCCCCUACCUCAAUAUGGGCCCACAUAGCUAGCCUAUGGCCCUAGUCGGCAGCUCAGAGCAGUUCAGUGCUCCCUGGGGUGCAUUCAUGUCCCAGCCACAACCUUAUGUUCUGCUGGGCCACUUUCAGCACACCCAGACAGGGUUCCUCUUCUGGUGCUGCUCUGUCUUUGAAACCGCAGAUAGACCAUGCUAACCAGCACACAGGUUUCCCUGGUCCAUCCUCCCUGACCCCCAUGCAUGCCCAGGUUCUGCAUCCAGGCCCUAGACUCCUUGCCUAAUCCCAGCUCCCCGCGAAGAUGCAGCCAGCAGGAACGUCUAGGUUUUGCAGCUACCAACCAACCAGGCCCUCAGCAACUCGUCAUCCAACACAGCCAGAACCUGUCAUGCUGCAAGUGA